UAAAAAUAAAAAAUCAAGUACUAAAAGAUAAUGUGUUGUAAUUUUACAAAGCUCACAAAAACCUUAAAUUACAAAGAAAACACAAGUAAGUUUAUUCUAUUAAUAAAAAGUCGCUGUAUCCACUCACCGCUUAUAGAUGCUGCACCGCCACCGUUGUUUUCUUUUUGAGCUUCAGUUGGCGCAAAAACACUGUGAACCUUGAACCUUGUAGAUGAUGCAGCCCCAACGUCAGCAUUAGAAGAGAGCGCCAUCAGUCACAAAUGCUGCAUCGUCAUUGGUUAAUUCACAGUGGAGGGGCGUUGCUGAAUCAACGAGGUUAAGGCGCGCGUUAGUUAACGUAUGGAGUUGCAGGUAGACGGAAUGGAGGAAAAAACAGUUGCAGGACUCAAAAGAAGAAUGAGUGCAGAAGGAACUAAUACAAAACUGCCCAGAAGAGCGCGAAACCCUCCGAAAAAGAUGAGUUUGUAUGAACCAGACCCCAGCUCCCCCAGAGAAAACCAAGAUGGACUUUUUGUAUUUUUGACCUUUGAAGAUGGAUACACAGCAAAGAUUUUUAAUCUCUGUGAUAUACUAAACAAAGAUGAUAAACCCAUCGCUUGCUUUAGAUAUCUGACACCAGGAGAAGAAGUACUUGCAAGAUGGUCUGACAAUAAGUUCUACAAAGCUACAGUAGACUUCACUGGAACAGCUGACAAAACGGUGGAUACCAAGAAGGCGACAAAGAAGGACAUGAAAAAAAGAGAUGCAGCUGCAAAAAGAUUCUACAACCUUCCAUUCCUAGCUCAAGCAGGCCAGUCCACCUCUGCACAGGAUCACCUAAAUACUGUGGACCAAAAUGUCAUUCAGCCUCCAACAACCUGGCCAGUGUACCAGCCUCCACCUACAGAGUCAUUUCUACCUGUCCAGCCACAGCACCAGCAUGCAACUGCCUGGCCACAGUACCAACUUCCAGUUUCCCAGUCAUCACCAAAUACGCCACAACAUUACCAGCAUUCACCAGUCCAGUCGCUCAACCAGUAUGGAACUACUCUGUCUCCAAUUCCACACAAUUCCAGCCUUUUGCAGUAUUCAAAGCAUCACCAGCCUCACACAGCACUACCCACACCUUCAGACCAAACACAACAGCAGCCUGUUUUGGCAGAUUUGGAUCAGCGAAGACAGCCACCAGCUCCUACAGCCAAAGAAAGCUUCCUCAAAAUGUUGCACAGUCCUAAUACACAUCAAAAACCUGCUGUUCUUGGGGACCAGAGCCAGACAAGCACCUCUGAACAUGAGACUUUAAGCUCAUCUGCAGAUACUUUAAUCAUCGAGCGUGAUCCAAUUCCAGAAUAUGGAGAACCAUGUUUCAUUUCGCCUGAGUCAGCAGAAGACAGAUCAUGGAAGCCAUGCGAAGCAUGCAAGACAGAGGUGGAAAAAUUAGUGGAGGAAAAGGCCAAACUGCAUGAUGUGCUGUGUGGUAUAAGUGGUGAGCACCUCGAGGCAUUCAGAAGUUUUCUGGACAAAGUGGAACAGAUCCAACCUCAGGCUGGUGUUUGGGCUCCAAAAGGCAGAUCUCGGCAGCAGGAGCUAUAUCCAGGAAGUGGCCUCUUCUUGUCCUCGACUCACCUGGCUGCAAUCCAUGCAACCGCAAAGAAGGACUGCCUUCGCUUGUUCCAUCUUCUUUUUGAUGAAUUCUUUACUGCAGAGGAGUGCCAGAAUGCUGUGGCAUUUGGGAAACACGGAAAGGUGCCAGAUGGGAAGAGAGUCCUGGAUAAGUUCAAAGUCAAUGCAAUUCUAACUUACGUCAUGCGCUGUAGUACACUGGAUGGUUGGACACCAGUUGAGAAAAGUAAGGUCAAAAAAGCCUUCAUAAACAAAUGCCGCAUCAGGGCCACAACACUGUAAAUAUCGGAUGGGGCACACAGAGACAUUUGUUGAAAUGUUCACAAAAAGUCCUUGUUUUCAAAUUAUGUAUGUUGGCGUCAGAGACUCAAGUUUAUUGUUGUGAAUUGUUGUAAACCUGGCCUGCCACUGCUCAUAACAUUGUUAAAAUUGUUACUGUUUUAAAAACAGAAUUUUACAAAAAAAAAGCACUUUAGUUCAUAUUUUGUAAUGACCAUGUUUAAACAGUUUUUGCUGUCUUUAAAAUGUCUUUAAAUUUGUUAAUGUUAUUUUGAUUUAAAUAAAGAUUCAGAUUCAAAUUUCUUUAUUUCUUUA
ensembl:lncRNA